UUUCCGUAGGUGAACCUGCGGAAGGAUCAUUAUUGUAUAACCGAGGUGCGAGGGCUGUCGCUGACCCGAAAGGUCGUGCACGCACGAGUGCCCUGACAAACAUCCAACCCACCACUAUGUGCACCACCGCGUGGGCUUCCCUAUGGCUUGAUCGGAGGGGGGAUUACGCUGUCACCUAAACUCUGUAUGCGGUGAAGAACGCAUUUGUUGUUAUUGCGAUACGGCAAACAAUAAAACUUUCAACAACGGAUCUUAUGGCUCUCGCAUCGAGGAAAAAAA
rnacentral:misc_RNA from 1 species